rnacentral:rRNA from 1 species
UCGCGGCCUAUCAGCUUGUUGGUGGGGUAACGGCCUACCAAGGCAUCGACGGGUAGCUGGUCUGAGAGGAUGAUCAGCCACACUGGGACUGAGACACGGCCCAGACUCCUACGGGAGGCAGCAGUGGGGAAUCUUGCGCAAUGGGCGAAAGCCUGACGCAGCAACGCCGCGUGCGGGACGAAGGCCCUAGGGUCGUAAACCGCUUUCAGUAGGGACGAAAAUGACGGUACCUGCAGAAGAAGCUCCGGCCAACUACGUGCCAGCAGCCGCGGUGAUACGUAGGGAGCAAGCGUUGUCCGGAAUUACUGGGCGUAAAGGGCUCGUAGGUGGUUGAGUAAGUCAGAUGUGAAAUCUCAGGGCCCAACCCUGAGCCUGCAUUUGAUACUGCUCUGACUAGAGUCCGGUAGGGGAGUGCGGAACUCCUGGUGUAGCGGUGAAAUGCGCAGAUAUCAGGAAGAACACCUGCAGCGAAGGCGGCGCUCUGGGCUGGAACUGACGCUGAGGAGCGAAAGCGUGGGUAGCAAACAGGAUUAGAUACCCUGGUAGUCCACGCCGUAAACGUUGGGCACUAGGUGUGGGGAGCCGUCAACGCUCUCUGUGCCGUAGCUAACGCAUUAAGUGCCCCGCCUGGGGAGUACGG